CUGUAAACCUUUGAUGUAAAUUUACAGCUAAAAUCUCACAGUAUUUUACUGUUUUACUAUUAUACAGGAUUAUACUGUAUGUGGCAAUGCAUUCUGGGAGAAAAUAAAAUUAACGGUCUAGGAUUACAGCACAUAUCUGCAGAAUGGUGCAGAUUACAGAUUUACUGUAAAUUGCAGUGCAUCUCGGGAAAAUAAAGAAAAAAGCGGGGAUUACAAUUUAAAAUAUUUAAGACAACGACAGGCUCGUGAUGCAUAUCAGUCUCUGAGGAAAGCGCGUGGACAGCAGUUUCACCAAGAGGACGCGAGUCAGCGGCUUUUUCAACAUUUAUGUGUCUGCCACUCCCGCCAUGAUUCAGACUGUCCCACUGUCUGAAAGCCUGAGAUUAAUAGUACCGGUCCAACUGACUGAUCAGCGGGGGUGUGAGCGUGGAGGGCCAGGUUGUCAGUGAGGGGGGGUCCUUUGAGCUGGGACUUGCUGUUCUAAUGUCAACUCACUACAACUUUAACCUGCAAUACCAGGACCAGGCUGCAUGCUCGUUGGAGUUCAUUCAGAGGAUCUGCAUGGGGACUAAUCCUGAGAGAGGAUCAAAGGCACCCAGCAGAAAAACUGGAAAGAUGGUCCAGAAGAAACCUUCAACAGUGAACCCGCAUGUCUGCACCCUGAUCAGGAAGCUCAACGACUUCAAGUGGGACUUUGUUUGAGUUUCUCUUGUAUUGUUUUGUUUAGCUGCAGAUAUCACUUGUCAUUCAUCAAUUAACAAUAUCUGCUAGUUUUUGUGUUGUUUAGUUCAGUUCUUGCGGCUGUAUGUAGUGUUUUGCCCCAUUCAAGUGUUUCAUUGAUGUUUUAUAAAUUGUUGAUUUAAACGGUUACUGCAUGGGAGCCAAGCAGUUACAAGAUGAGUUACUACAUUAUGAUUGAUUCUAAAAUAAAGAGUUAAUUAGAUUUUGAAUCUUGCUUUUUUCCUUGUUAUUUAAGACUAAUUAUUUAUUGCAGUGUUCCCUGAGGUUUAUUUAAAGCUGCAGAAUUUAUUCUUCUGGAUCAGUAUACUGAGAAUUUCAUAACACUGUUUUUGUGCUGUCAACACAAUUGUUGUACAUGUACAACAAAUUUAAUUAUAUUUAUUUACAGUAAAUCAAAAUAAACAUGAAAUUAUAUUUUUAGUGUAAUAUUGGCAAAGCUGCUGCCAAAAAAAACUGUAAAUUCAAAUAAAGUAAAACUGUAUGUCUAUUUACAGUAAAAUACCUGUAAUUAAAAAUAACAGUAUGCAUACUGUAAAUAAACAGUAGUUUACUGGCGAAGCUGCUGCCAGUAUAUUACUGUAAAUUCAAAUACAGUUAGUAACUGUAUACCUGUUUACAGUUAAAUACUGUAGUUUAAAACCGUAUGCCUACUGUAAAUUAACAGUAGUUUACUGGUGAAGCUGCUGCCAGUAUAUUACUGUAAAUUCAAAUAAUACAGUUAGUAACUGUAUACCUGUUUACAGUAAAAUACCUUAAUUUUAAAAUACAGUAUGCUUACUGUAAAUUAACAGUAGUUUACUGGCGAAGCUGCUGCCAGUAUAUUACUGUAAAUUUACGGUGAAAAGUUUUACAGUGUA